UACGGGGGGGGCAAGCGUUGUUCGGAAUUACUGGGCGUAAAGGGCUCGUAGGCGGCCAACUAAGUUAUACGUGAAAUCCCUCAGCUUAACUGGGGAACUGCGUGUGAUACUGGAUGGCUUGGAUUUGGGAGAGGGAUGCGGAAUUCCAGGUGUAGCGGUGAAAUGCGUAGAUAUCUGGAGGAACACCGGUGGCGAAGGCGGCAUCCUGGACCAAUAUUGACGCUGAGGAGCGAAAGCCAGGGGAGCAAACGGG
rnacentral:rRNA from 1 species